CCUACGGGGGGCUGCAGUGGGGAAUAUUGGACAAUGGGGGCAACCCUGAUCCAGCCAUGCCGCGUGUGUGAAGAAGGCCCUCGGGUUGUAAAGCACUUUCAGUGAGGAAGAACGCCUGGUGGUUAAUACCCAUCAGGAAAGACAUCACUCACAGAAGAAGCACCGGCUAACUCCGUGCCAGCAGCCGCGGUAAUACGGAGGGUGCGAGCGUUAAUCGGAAUUACUGGGCGUAAAGCGCGCGUAGGUGGCUUGAUAAGCCGGUUGUGAAAGCCCCGGGCUCAACCUGGGAACGGCAUCCGGAACUGUCAAGCUAGAGUGCAGGAGAGGAAGGUAGAAUUCCCGGUGUAGCGGUGAAAUGCGUAGAGAUCGGGAGGAAUACCAGUGGCGAAGGCGGCCUUCUGGACUGACACUGACACUGAGGUGCGAAAGCGUGGGUAGCAAACAGGAUUAGAUACCCCUGUAGUA
rnacentral:rRNA from 1 species